rnacentral:rRNA from 1 species
GCAAUCUGCCCUGCACUCUGGGACAAGCCCUGGAAACGGGGUCUAAUACCGGAUAUGAUCACCGGCCGCAUGGUCUGGUGGUGGAAAGCUCCGGCGGUGCAGGAUGAGCCCGCGGCCUAUCAGCUUGUUGGUGGGGUGAUGGCCUACCAAGGCGACGACGGGUAGCCGGCCUGAGAGGGCGACCGGCCACACUGGGACUGAGACACGGCCCAGACUCCUACGGGAGGCAGCAGUGGGGAAUAUUGCACAAUGGGCGAAAGCCUGAUGCAGCGACGCCGCGUGAGGGAUGACGGCCUUCGGGUUGUAAACCUCUUUCAGCAGGGAAGAAGCUUUCGGGUGACGGUACCUGCAAAAAGCACCGGCUAACUACGUGCCAGCAGCCGCGGUAAUACGUAGGGUGCGAGCGUUGUCCGGAAUUAUUGGGCGUAAAAGCUCGUAGGCGGCGUGUCACG